rnacentral:rRNA from 1 species
CCCUGCCAUUUGUACACACCGCCCGUCGCUCCUACCGAUUUCGAAUGGUCCGGUGAACCUUCUGGAGUGCCUCACGGCGCGAAGUUAAGUAAACCUUAUCAUUUAGAGGAAGGAGAAGUCGUAACAAG